rnacentral:rRNA from 1 species
AACGUAGGUACCGAGCGUUAUCCGGAUUUACUGGGCGUAAAGCGCGUUCAGGCGGCUUAGCAAGUCGGGCAUGAAAUCUCUCGGCUCAACCGGGAGGGGCUGUCCGAAACUGCUGGGCUUGAGGGCAGUAGAGGGUGGUGGAAUUCCGGGUGUAGUGGUGAAAUGCGUAGAUAUCCGGAGGAACACCAGUGGCGAAAGCGGCCACCUGGACUGUACCUGACGCUCAAACGCGAAAGCUAGGGGAGCGAACGGGAUUAGAUACCCCUGUAGUCC